rnacentral:rRNA from 1 species
GUGGGGAAUAUUGGACAAUGGGCGGAAGCCUGAUCCAGCAAUGCCGCGUGUGUGAAGAAGGCCUGAGGGUUGUAAAGCACUUUCAAUGGGAAGGAAAAAAGCCGGGCUAAUACCCUGGUUCUUGACAUUACCUAUAGAAGAAGCACCGGCUAACUCCGUGCCAGCAGCCGCGGUAAUACGGAGGGUGCGAGCGUUAAUCGGAAUUACUGGGCGUAAAGCGUGCGUAGGCGGUUAUUUAAGUCAGAUGUGAAAGCCCCGGGCUUAACCUGGGAACUGCAUUUGAUACUGGGUAACUUGAGUUUGGUAGAGGAGAGUGGAAUUUCCGGUGUAGCGGUGAAAUGCGUAGAUAUCGGAAGGAACACCAGUGGCGAAGGCGGCUCUCUGGACCAAAACUGACGCUGAGGUACGAAAGCGUGGGUAGCAAACAGGAUUAGAAACCCCAGUAGUCC